CCCGGGCCCGUGCAGAACCGAGAAAUGUCAAAAAUGUACUACCCGGAACCGACGCGGACCGUCCAUAUAUUUGAAAGAUGGACCCAACCCGG